AUUGCCAAAGGCAAACUCAGUGAAAACUGAGGACGCAAAGCUUCGGGUCUUCCACUCUCAGGUGAUGAUGGCCGAGCCGCCAAUU
rnacentral:ncRNA from 1 species